UAGGUAUGUUUUCACAAUAGAUUUGAGAAAUAUGUUCGCUUUAGGUCCAAAUUAUCUCUUUAUGCAUUGCUCAGGAACAAUUUUGGACGUCACUACACAGAAAGCGGAGUUUGAUCUGAACAUUUUGAUAUGAAACACAUUGGGAUCAGGUUAUAUGCACACA